rnacentral:misc_RNA from 1 species
AAGUCGUAACCGUUGGUGAACCAGCGGAGGGAUCAUUACAAAUGAGAGUUUAUAAACUCCCUAAACCCCACUGUGAACCUACCUGUAUUUUGUUGCCUUGGCGGGCAGCCCAAGGGGCCAGGGCGGGGGCCCCUUGCCUAGGUCUCCCAGGUGCCCGCCGUAAUUUACUGUUACUCUAAGCUGCAGCAAGCAAAUUAAAAUAAAAACAUUCAACAACGGAUCUCUCGGUUCUG